rnacentral:rRNA from 1 species
AAAUGAAUUGACGGGGGCCCGCACAAGCAGUGGAGUAUGUGGUUUAAUUCGAAGAAACGCGAAAAACCUUACCAGGGCUUGACAUAUAGAUGAAUAUAUUAGAGAUAGUAUAGUCUUUCGGGACAUCUAUACAGGUGGUGCAUGGUUGUCGUCAGCUCGUGUCGUGAGAUGUUGGGUUAAGUCCCGCAACGAGCGCAACCCCUGUUUCUAGUUGCCAGCACGUAAUGGUGGGAACUCUAGAGAGACUGCCGGUGAUAAAUCGGAGGAAGGUGGGGACGACGUCAAAUCAUCAUGCCCUUUAUGUCCUGGGCUACACACGUACUACAAUGGCUACAACAGAGGGAAGCAAUACAGCGAUGUAAAGCAAAACCCCAAAAGUAGUCUCAGUUCGGAUUGAAGGCUGAAAUUCGCCUUCAUGAAGCCGGAAUUGCUAGUAAUGGCAGGUCAGCAUACUGCCGUGAAUACGUUCCCGGGCCUUGUACACACCGCCCGU